rfam:Aedes albopictus isolate Foshan contig67596, whole genome shotgun sequence.
UGUUCUGUGGUUUAGUUGAUUAAAGCGCCAGACUAACGAUACGGAGUCGUGGGUUCGAAUCUUACCCAAACAA